rnacentral:rRNA from 1 species
UGGGGAAUAUUGCGCAAUGGGCGAAAGCCUGACGCAGCAACGCCGCGUGGAGGAUGAAGGUCUUAGGAUUGUAAACUUCUGUCUAGUGAGAAGAAAGAUUUGCUAAUAAAACGGGCAAAAGAUGACGGUAUCACUAAAGAAAGCACUGGCUAAUCUCGUGCCAGCAGCCGCGGUAAUACGAGAGGUGCAAGCGUUAUUCGGAAUUAUUGGGCGUAAAGAGUGCGUAGGCGGUAUGAUAAGUCUGUUGUUAAAUCUCCUGGCUCAACCAGGAAAAUGCAAUGGAAACUAUUGUUCUAGAGGGUGAGAGAGAGAAGUGGAAUUCCAGGAGUUAGCGGUCAAAUGCGUAGAUCUCUGGAGGAACACCGAUGGCGAAGGCAGCUUCUUGGCUCAUUUCUGACGC